rnacentral:lncRNA from 1 species
UUUGAAUCCAUUAUUUAAAAAUGAAAAUUAGUUUCUACAAAUCAAAGUAUAAUAAUCACAAUCUUCAUUUCCUUCUUAGAAAAAGACUUGGCCUUCAUCAUAGUACACGAAUCGAAACACUAAUAAGCAAAACUCACUGAAAUUAGCAACACAUAUAAUUCAAACUAUGCCCAUUGCCCAACAAAACCUGUGGUUUCAUGCCAAGCAAGUCCAUGGCCGCGCGUGGCCAUUCCAAGCAAACCCAUAGUAGUGCGUGGCCAUGCCAAGCAAGCCAUGGCCACGCGCAGCCAUUCCAAGCAAGCCCAUGGCUGCGCUCGGCCAUGCCAAGCAAGUCCAUGGCCGCACACAGCCAUUCCAAACAAACCCAUGGCCGCACGCGGCCAUGUCAAGCAUACGAUGAUUCAAGCAAUGGGUCUUGAUGAUUUCAAUGAUUAGUUUGGUUUUAGGUUUAUUGGUAAAUUUGGAAAGAAAGUAUGGUUUGUUUAAAGGAUAAGAUGGGCCAAGUUUUGGAACAGCGGUGUUGGCAGCCAUCGCCCGAUUCCAAAUCUUCGUCGCGAGUUACUGCCGUGGCUUCCAUGGCUCUAUAAUGCUUGAAGAAGAU